rnacentral:rRNA from 1 species
UACGUAGGGGGCAAGCGUUGUCCGGAAUCAUUGGGCGUAAAGAGCGUGUAGGCGGCCCGGUAAGUCCGCUGUGAAAGUCCAGGGCUCAACCCUGGGAUGCCGGUGGAUACUGUCGGGCUCGAGUCCGGAAGAGGAGUGUGGAAUUCCUGGUGUAGCGGUGAAAUGCGCAGAUAUCAGGAGGAACACCAAUGGCGAAGGCAGCUCGCUGGGACGGUACUGACGCUGAGACGCGAAAGCAUGGGGAGCAAACAGG